GACAGAGGGUGCAAACGUUGCUCGGAAUUACUGGGCGUAAAGGGCUCGUAGGCGGCCAACUAAGUCAGACGUGAAAUCCCUCGGCUUAACCGGGGAACUGCGUCUGAUACUGGAUGGCUAGAGGUUGGGAGAGGGAUGCGGAAUUCCAGGUGUAGCGGUGAAAUGCGUAGAUAUCUGGAGGAACACCGGUGGCGAAGGCGGCAUCCUGGACCAAUUCUGACGCUGAGGAGCGAAAGCCAGGGGAGCAAACGGG
rnacentral:rRNA from 1 species